rnacentral:rRNA from 1 species
UACGUAGGGUGCAAGCGUUGUCCGGAAUUAUUGGGCGUAAAGAGCUCGUAGGCGGUUCGUCGCGUCGGAUGUGAAAACCCGGAGCUCAACUCCGGGCCUGCAGUCGAUACGGGCGGACUCGAGUUCGGCAGGGGAGACUGGAAUUCCUGGUGUAGCGGUGAAAUGCGCAGAUAUCAGGAGGAACACCGGUGGCGAAGGCGGGUCUCUGGGCCGAUACUGACGCUGAGGAGCGAAAGCGUGGGGAGCGAACAGG